UACGGAGGAUCCAAGCGUUAUCCGGAAUCACUGGGCUUAAAGCGCGUGUAGGCGGAUGGGGACGUCGGUCGCUGAAAUCCCCCGGCUCAACCGGGGAACGGGCGCCGAAACGCCCCGUCUGGAGGGACGUAGGGGGACCUGGAACUUCCGGUGGAGCGGUGAAAUGCGUUGAGAUCGGAAGGAACGCCCGUGGCGAAAGCGAGGUCCUGGACGUCUUCUGACGCUGAGACGCGAAAGCUAGGGGAGCGAACGGG
rnacentral:rRNA from 1 species